ACCCAAAAGCUGGCAAAGCAGAAUUUUUUCCAACCAUUUUAGUUGGCCUAACAAAAGAAAUAGGAUUUACCCGAAGAACCUUGUCCGCCUUGGAACACCCGCCUUCAGAGG